GGAAUGAUCAUUUUAAAGCACAUAAGCAAUAUGUAUGGACAUAUAUGUGUAUAUGCAUACAUAUUAUACACACUUAUGGAUGCAGAAAAUGUACAUGAUCAGAAUUCGGUGGAAUGUGUCCCAUGUUUAGCCACUGCACUGUGUAAAUAACCACCAUGUGAUGAUUAUGUGAGUGUUACACAUUAUUUAAUAGAUGACACUGAAAGGUAGUUAGUGGCUGUUCACAUAACAUUAUCCAUUUUGGGAUCAUUGUAAAUAAAAUCUUAGAAUUUCUAUUGCAUGGGAUAUUAAACUCUUAAUAUCUGUUAGAAUUUAAUUUUUAUCCACAACAAUAUUUUUAAGAACUGAC
rnacentral:lncRNA from 1 species